AUUGAACGCUGGCGGCAUGCUUUACACAUGCAAGUCGAGCGGCAGCGCGGGGGCAACCCUGGCGGCGAGCGGCGAACGGGUGAGUAAUGCAUCGGAACGUACCCUGGAGUGGGGGAUAACGCCGCGAAAGCGGCGCUAAUACCGCAUAUGCUCUGAGGAGGAAAGUGGGGGACCGCAAGGCCUCACGCUCUGGGAGCGGCCGAUGUCCGAUUAGCUAGUUGGUGAGGUAAAGGCUUACCAAGGCGACGAUCGGUAGCUGGUCUGAGAGGAUGAUCAGCCACACUGGGACUGAGACACGGCCCAGACUCCUACGGGAGGCAGCAGUGGGGAAUUUUGGACAAUGGGGGCAACCCUGAUCCAGCCAUGCCGCGUGAGUGAAGAAGGCCU
rnacentral:rRNA from 1 species